AGUGAACGCUGGCGGUAGGCCUAACACAUGCAAGUCGAACGGCAGCACCGUAAGAGCUUGCUCUUACGGGUGGCGAGUGGCGGACGUGUGAGGAAUACAUCGUACUCUACUUUUUCGUGGGGGAUAACGUAGGGAAACUUACUCUCAUACCGCAUACGCCCUACGGGUGAAAGCAGGGGAUCUUCGCACCUUGCGCGAUUGAAUGAGCCGAUGUCGGAUUAGCUAGUUGGCGGGGUAAAGGCCCACCAAGGCGACGAUCCGUAGCUGGUCUGAGAGGAUGAUCAGCCACACUGGAACUGAGACACGGUCCAGACUCCUACGGGAGGCAGCAGUGGGGAAUAUUGGACAAUGGGCGCAAGCCUGAUCCAGCCAUACCGCGUGGGUGAAGAAGGCCUUCGGGUUGUAAAGCCCUUUUGUUGGGAAAGAAAAGCAGCAGGUUAAUACCCCGCUGUUCUGACGGUACCCAAAGAAUAAGCACCGGCUAACUUCGUG
rnacentral:rRNA from 1 species